rnacentral:rRNA from 1 species
CAGUAGCCGCGGGAAUACGAAGGGGGCUAGCGUUGUUCGGAAUUACUGGGCGUAAAGCGCACGUAGGCGGAUAUUUAAGUCAGGGGUGAAAUCCCAGAGCUCAACUCUGGAACUGCCUUUGAUACUGGGUAUCUUGAGUAUGGAAGAGGUGAGUGGAAUUCCGAGUGUAGAGGUGAAAUUCGUAGAUAUUCGGAGGAACACCAGUGGCGAAGGCGGCUCACUGGUCCAUUACUGACGCUGAGGUGCGAAAGCGUGGGGAGCAAACAGGAUUAGAUACCCCAGUAGUCCCUGUCUCUUAUAC